rnacentral:rRNA from 1 species
UACGUAGGUGGCAAGCGUUGUCCGGAAUUAUUGGGCGUAAAGAGCGCGUAGGCGGUCCGAUAAGUCGGCUGUGAAAGUCAGGGGCUCAACCCUUGGAAGCCGGCCGAUACUGUCGGACUAGAGUCCGGAAGAGGCGAGUGGAAUUCCCGGUGUAGCGGUGAAAUGCGCAGAUAUCGGGAGGAACACCAAUGGCGAAGGCAGCUCGCUGGGACGGUACUGACGCUGAGGCGCGAAAGCGUGGGGAGCAAACAGG